UACAGAGGUCUCAAGCGUUUGUUCGGAUUCAUUGGGCGUAAAGGGCGCGUAGGCUGCGGGGCAAGUCGGGUGUGAAAUCUCAGAGCUCAACUCUGAAACUGCACUCGAUACUGCUUUGCUUGAGGACUGGAGAGGAGAUUGGAAUUCACGGUGUAGCAGUGAAAUGCGUAGAUAUCGUGAGGAAGACCAGUGGCGAAAGGCGGAUCUCUGGACAGUUCCUGACGCUGAGGCGCGAAGGCCAGGGGAGCAAACGGGG
rnacentral:rRNA from 1 species